CUAGAGAAGGCAUCCAUAUCCGCCGCUGGCGUUUCCCUGUAUGUUAGCUGUGAUCCGCGAGGUAGCAACGAAGUACUAGGACCGGUUUGCGCUGGGUUCCCUGAUCAGGAAGCGCGGCCGGU
rnacentral:sRNA from 12 species